UAAAACCCAAACGGUGCUAACAGUUUGCAGGGAAAUUAGAUUCAUGAGAUUGCAUAACAAAAUGCUCCUCGUAUAUGUUGUUAUUUAAUGUCUCAUAUUUAAUGCAAUCAAUUUCCAUUUUUUAUUCACAAAAAGAUGGAUUUUGGACAUGGGAAUUGCAAACAUUAGGCUACAGUUGCGCAUUUUUUUUUUUAACCACGCACAUCCUUAAAGUAAC